rnacentral:SRP_RNA from 1 species
CCGUGCUAAACGGGGAGGUAGCGGUGCCCUGUACCUGCAAUCCGCUGUAGCAGGGUUGAAUGCCUGCCCGAGGCUUUCAAGUGUAAAGCAGUUAUGCGUCGAGGUGCGAUGAGAAUUGGGUCUUGCGCAACUUGGAAACGUGAACCCCGUCAGGUCCGGGAGGAAGCAGCGGUAAGCGUCACUCCAGGUGUGCCGCAAGUAUGCCUGGUUUGAGUGCGUUGGCGCAUGGUACGUUUGUACUUGUCUGUCGAAGGCAGGUGCACGG